GGAGCCGCCCGGGUGGCCGCGGCCCGGAUACGGGCCGAGGAAAGUCGGGACUCCACAGGGCAGGACGCUGGGGAAAUCCCAGGCGGGGCGACCCGCGGAAAGUGCAACAGAAAGCAAACCGCCCCCGGCGACGGGGGUAAGGGUGAAACGGUGAGGUAAGAGCUCACCAGCGUGCCGGGUGACCGGUGCGGCUAGGUAAACCCCGUCCGGAGCAAGGCCAAGCAGGGGGCACGGGCUGCCCGUCCACAUUGCCCCCGGGUAGGCCGCAAGAGGCGAGCGGAGACGCUCGCCCCAGAUGGAUGGCCACCGCCUCGCAAGCGAGGUACAGAAUCCCGCUUACAGGGCGGCUCCUGAG
rnacentral:RNase_P_RNA from 1 species